GAUGAACGCUGGCGGCGUGCCUAAUACAUGCAAGUCGAACGCUGAAGGAGGAGCUUUCUCUUCUGGAUGAGUUGUGCACGGGUGAGUAACACGUAGGUAACCUGCCUGUUAGCGGGGGAUAUCUCUUGGAAACGAUAGCUAAUACCGCAUGACAACAGUUAUUGCAUGAUAACUGUUUAUAAGAGGCAACUGCUCCACUACCAGAUGAAGCUGCGUUGUAUUAGCUAGUUGGUGAGGUAACGGCUCACCAAGGCGACGAUACAUAGCCGGCCUGCUAGGGUGGUUGGCCACACUGGGAAUGAGAAACGGCCCAGGAUUCUACGGGGGGGAGCAGUAGGGAAUCUUUGGCAAAGGGGGGAAGUCUGAACGAGGAACGCCGGGGGAGUGAAGGAGGGUUUCGGAUCGUAAAGAUUUUUUGAAAGGGAAGAACGAGUGUGGGAGGGGAAAGUGCACAGUGUGACGGUAUCUUACCAGAAAGCGACGGCUAACUACGUG
rnacentral:rRNA from 1 species